UUUUGGGUUCUCACUCUGACCAGUCCCAGUCCCAGUCCGAGAAAGAGCUCAAAGUCAAAACCCAGACACCAAUGAUGAUUCUCUUGGGAGCCCGGCUGCACAGAAAAAGUAAAGAAACCCAGUGUUAGAUCACAAAGCAAACCGUUUCGGGCAAGAGCGGAGAAAAAAGGAAAGUGGAGGAGGAGUGAACUUGCUCAUAGCCCAGAGUUCAAACGUGCCUUCGCCAAACCUCCUGAAAAGCAAACACACCAAAGACCAACAAGCAUUUAUUGGUUGACUGCACCAGGCAAGCACAGUAAAAGGUGCUGUGGAGUUUUUAGAGUGCAGAUGGACAGAUGGACAACCAACAUACAAAGAGAGCCAAAAUAAGUGGAGCUUAACCUGCCAUGGGAGAUGCAGACUGCGGAGACCGGAAAGAGUAGUAAAGGGAGGGUAAGAGAACAAUUUCCUGUGAAAAUAAGCCUAGAGCUGAGCCCUGAAAGCCACGAGGAUGCCACCAGCAGAGACUUUCAAGACCUGCCGUUAGUUCCAUUUGUAAGACUUUUGUGUUUCUGAGGGGCGAUAGGAUCAAGAAAAACAGAGAUUAAAGUCAGUCCAGAAGGACCCACCCUGAUUGUCUUCAAGACUUUUCUCUCAAUGUCUAGGCUGGAAAGGAACCAAGUGACCAGAGGUCAGAGGUCUACCCUGAAGCCUGCUGCUCAGGUCAUCUAGUGCUCAGUUCCGAGAUGCAACAGAAGAGACCUCAUCCCCAGUUGGAGGCGGUGUGCAAAACCAACUAUGAUCCGGUUGCUAUUUUCCAGAGUAGAGAUUGUAUCGACCAGCAGCCCUAAUCUGUGAAGGUCUGGAAUAGGAAUGAGUAGCUUAGCCUUUCAAACCCUCCUGAAUCAGGUAAGAGUGGUGCAUGGCCCGUGCUCAGAGCCACGUUGGAUCCGCCCUUGAGGAAGGCCAUGCUUUUCACAUUGGUUGGUGGGAGGGAGGUCUCUCUUCCCCCUCCCUUCAGCUUGGCAGUUUUCCUGGUUGCAAGACAGUCUGCCCAUUUCUCAAGCAGCUCAGGAAAGAGUUGAGAGGGAGAAAAACCCCUCAGCUGGAUUUUGCACACAUGGAACCACACAUGAACCUCAGGUUCUUCUGAUCACUUGGGAGUAUAGGCAGAGGAUGCACCCAAAACCUCCGUCUCUGAGAAGAACUAAUGUGAGCCCCAGCAGCAAAUAUGUUCCCUAGGAUGGAGAUGCAGGCCUAAAUGGUAUGGUGACAGAAACCUCAGGCUCCUCCAAAGUCCCCUGAUCCAUUUGUUGAAGGUGAACAAGCCUGUUCAAUUAGAUUAUUCCAUCCAAAGUACUGGCCAAGAGAUUUUCACGACUCACUUCCAACCCAGCAAGAAUGCUGAGAAGCAAGAUCCAGGCAUCUCUCUUUACAUCCUGGAAGCCUGAAUGGAGUUUCUAUGGGUCGCUCUGGGCUCUUUAUGAGUAUGAGACAUGCCCCCUCCCUGCACUUAUCUCUCUCCCUCCUCCUGGAGAAUGCAGAUGGAUUAUACCCAUUUGGGAGGAAGGAAGACUGAGAACAGAGAGAGAGCAAAUGUUCUGACUUAGAUCAAUAAAUGAAAGAGGAUUCCAGUUUUGAAUUCACCCUAUCUAUCCUUUAAUCAAAGCUCCUAUUUUCCAGGGUCAGUUUUACAAGUCAUGUGAAGAUCUGAAUUUGCUUUGUAAGAUAACAUGCAUUCUCAAGAGGCUUUUGAAGAGGACUGGGUAUAAAUCCUCCCAUUGCAGACCACCUUUUUUAAAAAUAACAUCUUUUGUUUCUCCCUGAUAUAAAAGUGAUAAACUUCAUUAAAAAAUGGAAAACAUAGAAAGUAAGAAAAUAAAGAUCAUUCCAUAAUGUAAUACCCAGAGACAACAAUUAUUAAUGUUUUGGUAUCCUUCAAAUAUUUCUGGUAUGCAUGAAUUUAUUUUUUCCAUAUUAAAGUCACACCUCUUACAUAAUUGAGCACUUUGCUGUUUCACACAUAACAUUCUCUUGUAUUUCCCCAUGUUGAUAACUAUUAAUUUUAUAGCAACAUUUCAAGUAACUGUGUGAUAAUGCAUUACCAGGAUAUGCCAC